UUUCACCACCUUCAAGAACAAGGUUGUUGUGAACCAGGUCCCAACUGUUAACUACAGAAAGGUCCAUGGCUUCAGAACCGUCAAGGUCCCAACUGUUAAUGUUGUCCCAGUCCACGGCUACAGAACCGUGAAGAACGUCGUCCCAGUCCCAGUGAGAGGAUACACCGUCCAGCGUACCGUUGUUGGUGCUGGUUUAGGUGCUGGUUAUGGUGCCGGUUAUGGUGCUGGUUAUGGUGCCGGCUAUGGUUAUGAUGCUGGAUACGGUUACAACGCCGGAUACGGCUAUGGUGCUGGAUAUGGUGCCGGAUACGGAUACAACGCCGGUUACGGCAAAUAUUAAACUGUCCCAAGAAUGCAUCAUUUGGUUCAAGAUCCAUAAAGGAGAUAUUUAAUGGAAAAUAAUUCCAAGAGAAAAUUCUGUUCCUUUUUUU